GAUGAACGCUGGCGGCGUGCCUAAUACAUGCAAGUCGAGCGAACGGACGAGAAGCUUGCUUUUCUGAUGUUAGCGGCGGACGGGUGAGUAACACGUGGAUAACCUACCUAUAAGACUGGGAUAACUUCGGGAAACCGGAGCUAAUACCGGAUAAUAUUUUGAACCGCAUGGUUCAAAAGUGAAAGACGGUCUUGCUGUCACUUAUAGAUGGAUCCGCGCUGCAUUAGCUAGUUGGUAAGGUAACGGCUUACCAAGGCAACGAUGCAUAGCCGACCUGAGAGGGUGAUCGGCCACACUGGAACUGAGACACGGUCCAGACUCCUACGGGAGGCAGCAGUAGGGAAUCUUCCGCAAUGGGCGAAAGCCUGACGGAGCAACGCCGCGUGAGUGAUGAAGGUCUUCGGAUCGUAAAACUCUGUUAUUAGGGAAGAACAUAUGUGUAAGUAACUGUGCACAUCUUGACGGUACCUAAUCAGAAAGCCACGGCUAACUACGUGCCAGCAGCCGCGGUAAUACGUAGGUGACAAGCGUUAUCCGGAAUUAUUGGGCGUAAAGCGCGCGUAGGCGGUUUUUUAAGUCUGAUGUGAAAGCCCACGGCUCAACCGUGGAGGGUCAUUGGAAACUGGAAAACUUGAGUGCAGAAGAGGAAAGUGGAAUUCCAUGUGUAGCGGUGAAAUGCGCAGAGAUAUGGAGGAACACCAGUGGCGAAGGCGACUUUCUGGUCUGUAACUGACGCUGAUGUGCGAAAGCGUGGGGAUCAAACAGGAUUAGAUACCCUGGUAGUCCACGCCGUAAACGAUGAGUGCUAAGUGUUAGGGGGUUUCCGCCCCUUAGUGCUGCAGCUAACGCAUUAAGCACUCCGCCUGGGGAGUACGACCGCAAGGUUGAAACUCAAAGGAAUUGACGGGGACCCGCACAAGCGGUGGAGCAUGUGGUUUAAUUCGAAGCAACGCGAAGAACCUUACCAAAUCUUGACAUCCUUUGACAACUCUAGAGAUAGAGCCUUCCCCUUCGGGGGACAAAGUGACAGGUGGUGCAUGGUUGUCGUCAGCUCGUGUCGUGAGAUGUUGGGUUAAGUCCCGCAACGAGCGCAACCCUUAAGCUUAGUUGCCAUCAUUAAGUUGGGCACUCUAAGUUGACUGCCGGUGACAAACCGGAGGAAGGUGGGGAUGACGUCAAAUCAUCAUGCCCCUUAUGAUUUGGGCUACACACGUGCUACAAUGGACAAUACAAAGGGCAGCGAAACCGCGAGGUCAAGCAAAUCCCAUAAAGUUGUUCUCAGUUCGGAUUGUAGUCUGCAACUCGACUACAUGAAGCUGGAAUCGCUAGUAAUCGUAGAUCAGCAUGCUACGGUGAAUACGUUCCCGGGUCU
rnacentral:rRNA from 1 species